rnacentral:rRNA from 1 species
UCGAGGGGUAGAGUGCUUCGGCGCUUGAGACCGGCGUACGGGUGCGUAACGCGUGUACAAUCUACCUUUUGCUAAGGGAUAGCCCGAAGAAAUUUGGAUUAAUACCUUAUAGUAUUAUUUGGUGGCAUCAUUAAAUAAUUAAAGCUACGGUGGCAAAAGAUGAGUACGCGUCCCAUUAGCUAGUUGGAGUGGUAACGGCACACCAAGGCUACGAUGGGUAGGGGUUCUGAGAGGGAUGUCCCCCACACUGGUACUGAGACACGGACCAGACUCCUACGGGAGGCAGCAGUGAGGAAUAUUGGACAAUGGUCGGAAGACUGAUCCAGCCAUGCCGCGUGCAGGAUGACGGCCUUAUGGGUUGUAAACUGCUUUUGUAUGGGAAGAAUAAGGUCUACGUGUAGAUUGAUGACGGUACCAUACGAAUAAGCAUCGGCUAACUCCGUGCCAGCAG